rnacentral:lncRNA from 1 species
CUUUGAUUUCUUUCAUUGGUUAUGAAUUCAUUUUUUAUUUUUGAAGCUGGUUUUUUAGACUCUGAAGUGUCAAAUAUGGAUUCCUGGUCUGCAAGAAAGAAAAAUUCCAAGGCUAACAAGAAAAUCAAGUCCUUGAGUUGCAGGCUCUCUAGACCUAUGGAACCUCGAGAGAAUAACUGUUCUUCAUGACUGUAGCUAAACUUGAGAAGCAGCAACUGCCAAGUGAACUCAACCUGCAAGCUAAACCUGGACUAGGAGCAACCGCAGUGACUUCUCAUAUAGAGCAAUUGUUAUUGUAAAAUACCCCCACACACAACCAAUUUCCCAAAAAACCUUUAAGGCCCACUACAGAAAUUGACUGAUUAUGAGCACUAUGGUUUGUUUUGAUCAAUAAAAGCUAAGUGGUGGACUUCUUUAUUAGGUAA